rnacentral:rRNA from 1 species
CGGGGGGCAGCAGUGGGGAAUCUUGCACAAUGCGCGAAAGCGUGAUGCAGCAACGCCGCGUGCGGGAAGAAGGCCUUAGGGUUGUAAACCGCUUUCAGUUGGGACGAAGCUUCAGUCGUUAAUAGUGGCUUGGAGUGACGGUACCUUCAGAAGAAGCGCCGGCUAACUACGUGCCAGCAGCCGCGGUAAUACGUAGGGCGCGAGCGUUGUCCGGAAUCAUUGGGCGUAAAGCGCGUGUAGGCGGCUGAGUAAGUCUGCUGUGAAAGUCCAGGGCUCAACCCUGGAAUGUCGGCGGAUACUGCUCAGCUGGAGUACGGGAGGGGCGAGUGGAAUUCCUGGUGUAGCGGUGGAAUGCGCAGAUAUCAGGAGGAACACCUAUGGCGAAGGCAGCUCGCUGGAACGUUACUGACGCUGAGACGCGAAAGCGUGGGGAGCAAACAGGAUUAGAUACCCCAGU